AACGAAGAGGACGAGCAUUAUUCGUCUUGAUUGGGUGUAAGGGUUAGUAGGUGGUUUAUUAAGUCUUAAAUUAAAUGUUAAAUUAAAAUUUGAUAAAGUUUCUGAUACUAUUAAACUAGAGUGUUUUUGAGAAUAAUUGUAUUUCAGGUGUAAAGGUGAAAUUUUGCAAUAUUUGAAAGACAGGCAUAAGGCGAAAGCUAUUAUUUAAUUAAUAUCACUGACACUGAUAAACGAAAGCAUAGGGAGCAAAUGGG
rnacentral:rRNA from 1 species